GUGUGUGUUUGUGUGUGUGUGUGUGUGUGUGUGAAACAAUGUAUUAGUUUCCAUGCAUAUCAGUGGAAGUUGAAGGGUAAAUCAUGUUUUAUUAACAAUUCCCAAAUUAUUUCCCAGAUUUUUCCGGGUAAACAUAUAUAAAGCACCUCAAACAUUAAGUAAAUUACCGAUUACUCGUAAACAUUUAGGACUUUUAAUUUGAAAUAUUUCCCAAUUGGGACCGUAGAUUUGUCUGAUUCCCAGGAUAAUGGAAGUCUGGAUUGUCCUGAAUACAGCUGAAUCAGUCAAUGCCGGGGCUUAUGGGGAAAAACAUAUAUAAAGCACUUCAAACAUUAAAGAAAUGACCGAUUUCUUUAAACAUUUAGGACUUUUAAUUUGAAAUAUCUCCCAAUUUGGACCGUAGAUUUGUCUGAUUCCCAGGAUCAUGGAAGUCAAGAUUGUCCUGAACACAGCUGCAUCAGUCAAUGCCGGGGCUUAUGGGGAAAAACAUAUAUAAAGCACUUCAAACAUUAAAGAAAUGACCGAUUUCUUGAAACAUUUAGGACUUUUAAUUUGAAAUAUUUCCCAAUUGGGACUGUAGAUUUGUCUGAUUCCCAGGAUAAUGGAAGUCAAGAUUGUCCUGAACACAGCUGCAUCAGUCAAUGCCGGGGCUUAUGGGGAAAAACAUAUAUAAAGCACUUCAAACAUGAAAGAAAUGACGGAUUUCUUUAAACAUUUUGGACUUUUAAUUUGAAAUAUUUCCCAAUUUGGACCGUAGAUUUGUCUGAUUCCCAGGAUAAUUGAAGGCAAGAUUGUCCUGAACACAGCUGCAUCAGUCAAUGCUGGGGCUUAUGAGGAAAAACAUAUAUAAAGUACUUCAAACAUUAAAGAAAUGACCGAUUUCUUUAAACAUUUAGGACUUUUAAUUUGAAAUAUCUCCCAAUUUGGACCGUAGAUUUGUCUGAUUCCCAGGAUCAUGGAAGUCAAGAUUGUCCUGAACACAGCUGCAUCAGUCAAUGCCGGGGCUUAUGGGGAAAAACAUAUAUAAAGCACUUCAAACAUUAAAGAAAUGACCGAUUUCUUGAAACAUUUAGGACUUUUAAUUUGAAAUAUUUCCCAAUUGGGACCGUAGAUUUGUCUGAUUCCCAGGAUAAUGGAAGUCAAGAUUGUCCUGAACACAGCUGCAUCAGUCAAUGCCGGGGUUUAUGGGGAAAAACAUAUAUAAAGCACUUCAAACAUGAAAGAAAUGACGGAUUUCUUUAAACAUUUUGGACUUUUAAUUUGAAAUAUUUCCCAAUUUGGACCGUAGAUUUGUCUGAUUCCCAGGAUAAUUGAAGGCAAGAUUGUCCUGAACACAGCUGCAUCAGUCAAUGCUGGGGCUUAUGGGGAAAAACAUAUAUAAAGCACUUCAAACAUGAAAGAAAUGACGGAUUUCUUUAAACAUUUUGGACUUUUAAUUUGAAAUAUUUCCCAAUUGGGACCGUAGAUUUGUCUGAUUCCCAGGAUAAUGGAAGUCUGGAUUGUCCUGAACACAGCUGCAUCAGUCAAUGCCGGGGCUUAUGAGGAAAAACAUAUUUAAAGCACUUCAAACAUUAAAGAAAUGACCGAUUUCUUUAAACAUUUUGGACUUUUAAUUUGAAAUAUUUCCCAAUUGGGACCGUAGAUUUGUCUGAUUCCCAGGAUAAUGGAAGUCUGGAUUGUCCUGAACACAGCUGCAUCAGUCAAUGCCGGGGCUUAUGAGGAAAAACAUAUUUAAAGCACUUCAAACAUUAAAGAAAUGACCGAUUUCUUUAAACAUUUAGGACUUUUACUUUGAAAUAUCUCCCAAUUGGGACUCUUCCUUGGUACAGUAAAAAAGUUUUAAUGUUAGCAUAAUUUAAGCUAAAUCUCAGAAACGAUCUAUAAAGAUUCGAAAUCAGUUCAUUGUUUACUUGUAUAUGUUAGUGUAUGAUUUGUCGACAUCUUAUUUUGAAAAACGGAUGUUGUUUCACGUAGUUCUUUCCGCUAACUUUACAAAACCGAAUGUUGUGUCACGUGAAUUCUUCCGCUAACUUUAUCAAAACCCUCGCGCGCUCCCGAUCGAAUGCGUUUACCGUCAACAUCAGUCUAUAGGUGCACAGAAAUUGAAGUGUCGGCUGAGUUGACCACGGAGAUCCGAGUGUCGGCUGAGUUGACCGCAGUAUCCGGCAGCAGCGUCUGUGGCGUACGCACAGUCUCCGUGUCUUGAGGAGCUUUUGUGUUCAACCCUUAAAUACCCCCCCACCCCCUCCCCCUUCCCUUCUUCCUCACAAAUAAACAGACACUCUAUCUUCCUUCCAUCGAGGCAUCGUGAUUCGAACUGGCCCUUCCGAAAAGGGUUUCCGCGGCGUCCCCGUGUAAAAGUCCAAACGUGAACAAACACCUGAAACACACGGCGAUUGUUUACCGCGCCCGGCCGGGGGAGGAGUCGACUGGAGUCUGUUGCAGAUGAUGUAAAAGCAGUUCAUUAGAAGAACAACAGAGAACCUGUUUUUAUGAUCCCUGCGGGAAACAACAUUUCCCAACCGGCAGAAGGAUUCACACACACACACACACAAAAAAAUUCCGGUGAUGGAAAUCCACUCGAUGGACAAGUUCGAGCCAAACAGAUUACCGGCCUGAGCUGGUGCCGAGAAGUCGAGUUUGGCUGUGUGCGAGUGAAGUCGUGGUAGACGAGAGAAGUAGAGAAGGGGAACGACGGGCAGAACGUGUUGCCUGGGUCGGGACAGAAAGAGGAAGGCGACAGCGAAUCGACCGCAAGCAUCAGAGCGUGGAGUCCAAAACAAUGCGUUCUUCCGGGGUGCCUGUCCGUGAGAUCCUUUGGGUGUCCGCUCUCGCCGUGGCCCCUCUGUCACCAUCGCCAGAAACUCCUGAGCCGGGAUUGCGGCAACCUUUUUCAGCUCGACGCCUCGGCCAAUCACGGGCCGCCGUGGUCAUGUGACUGAGCCGUCUGACACGCAACUGUUGGCUUUGGACAACAACAUCGGAUGACGUUGUACACUUGGCCAGCAAGUGGCUGUUGUGAUGAAUGCUUACACACACACACACACACACACACACACGUCCACGCGCACACAAAGAAGACAUGUUAAUGAAUGAAUAAAGGAGGAGCAGAUGGCUGGCCUGUUGCCACUGAAAAACACACUCAUAGACUUUUGCUUGGUUUGGCACUUAAUGAGCAAUCUGCUGCCACUGUAUCUCCUUGACCUACAUCUCACUGUAGAACGUCUUUAACUACCAGUCUCCAGACCCCUGACACACACACACACACACACACACAGACGGCCAAACGAAUCCAGAAGGUGUGCAACCGCACACGAACGCACACUUUUCUUUCUUUUUCUUCUUCUAUUUUUUGAUUUCAAGACAAAGUAGAAAGAACAAAGGUUAUAAAAGAGUGGUGAUGUUUUCUCUUUCUCAUGCACUGACGCACGCUGACUGGCUCCCUCACAGGUACAGAUGUAGGGCAGGUCACCCCCGCAGGACGGACACGUGUCUGGGGAGCAUCUCUUUUUACUUUCAGACACACACGCACACGUCUAUUUAUACGGAGCUCCGGGUCACCUCACCUGGCAGUUUAAAAAACAACAUGUGGCGGGGGAGAGGAGAAUGUGACUUCUUUAUGUGGCUGAGUGUUGGAGAAGAGGACAUGUGGGGGAAAAAAGCACAAAUAUAUCACACGUGAAAUAAAUGAACAAAAAGAGAUGUGGAAUCCAGUUUUUGACUUUUUCACAAAGCAGUGGCUUUAAAAAAAUAUUUCUGACAUGCAUAACUGUGCAGAAAAUAAGUAACUUCUCCAUUUAGAUUGUGUUACUGUAAUUAACAGAUUAAACUCUUCAACUGUUGCAUAACCUGCAGGCUAAAUGUUGAAAAUAAAUGGACUCAAUUCCCAA